CCUACGGGAGGCUGCAGUGGGGGAUAUUGGACAAUGGGGGGAACCCUGAUCCAGCGACGCCGCGUGAGUGAAGAAGUAUCUCGGUAUGUAAAGCUCUAUCAGCAGGGAAGAAGAAAUGACGGUACCUGAGUAAGAAGCCCCGGCUAACUACGUGCCAGCAGCCGCGGUAAUACGUAGGGGGCAAGCGUUGUCCGGAAUCAUUGGGCGUAAAGCGUUCGUAGGCGGUAUGUCAAGUCUGAUGUUAAAGCCCGGGGCUCAACUCCGGUUCGGCAUUGGAUACUGGCAAACUAGAAUGUGGUAGAGGUAAAGGGAAUUCCUGGUGUAGCGGUGAAAUGCGUAGAUAUCAGGAGGAACAUCGGUGGCGAAAGCGCUUUACUGGACCAUUAUUGACGCUGAGGAACGAAAGCCAGGGGAGCAAAUGGGAUUAGAUACCCUAGUAGUC
rnacentral:rRNA from 1 species